AGCUGUAAGGCUUGGUGGAGUUUUAACAAGUAAGAAUGUUGGCAUGAGUAGCAAAAAUGCCGGUGAGAAUCCGGCAGGCCGUAAGUCUAAGGAUUCCUACGCAACGUUGAUCGGCGUAGGGUUAGUCGGGCCUAAGGCGUAUCCGAAAGGAAAAGUCGAUGGACAGCUGGUAAAUAUUCCAGCACCUUCAAAUUAUUGUUUGAUUCAAAGGGGUGACGCAGAAAGAUAAACAGAGCAUACGUAUUGGACAUCGUGUGUUUCUGCCUGUAAGAGAUAUAGAGAGGGUUAAAAUACUUUCUAUGCUUGAUCUGAGGGGUGGGAGAACUAUGAAGUUAGCUUCGUAGAAUUCUGUUGACUCUAGACUGCCAAGAAAAGCCUCGUUGAUUAGAUAUUUUGAAGACCGUACCGCAAACCAACACAGGUAGACAGGGAUAAAAGUCCCAAGGCCUUCGAGAGAACCAUCGUUAAGGAACUCGGCAAAUUGACCCCGUAACUUAGGGAGAAGGGGGACCUUUUAUGUAUAUGAGCUUGCCUCAGAAAGCGUAAAAGGUAGCAUAAAAUAGGUUGAAGCGACUGUUUAUCAAAAACACAGGUCCAUGCCAAAGCGAAAGCUGAUGUAUAUGGGCUGACGCCUGCCCAGUGCCGGUAGGUUAAGGAAGGUGGUGCAAGCUACUGACUGAAGCCCCGGUGAACGGCGGCCGUAACUAUAACGGUCCUAAGGUAGCGAAGUCCCUUGUCGGGUAAGUUCCGACCCGCACGAAUGGCGUAACGACUUCAACACUGUCUCAACGAUGGACUCGGUGAAAUUGCAGGACCGGUAAAGAUGCCGGUUACGCGCAGCAGGACAAAAAGACCCCGUGGAGCUUUACUGCAACUUGGCAUUGGUUCGAGUUUUAAAAUGUGUAGGAUAGGCGGGAGACUAUGAACUUCAGGCGUUAGCCUGGGGGGAGUCGCCCUUGAAAUACCGCCCUUUUUAUGAUUUGAACCUAACCUUUUGGAACAGUGUCUGGUGGGCAGUUUGACUGGGGCGGUCGCCUCCCAAAGAGUAACGGAGGCGUACAAAGGUCACCUCAAGCUGGAUGGAAAUCAGCUUUUGAGUGCAUUGGCAUAAGGUGGCUUGACUGCGAGACUUACAAGUCGAGCAGGGACGAAAGUCGGUCAAAGUGAUCCCACGAUUCCGAGUGGAAGGGUCGUGGCUUAACGGAUAAAAGCUACCCCGGGGAUAACAGGCUUAUCUUGCCCAAGAGUCCAUAUCGACGGCAAGGUUUGGCACCUCGAUGUCGGCUCGUCGCAUCCUGGGGCUGAAGAAGGUCCCAAGGGUCGGGCUGUUCGCCCGUUAAAGCGGCACGCGAGCUGGGUUCAGAGCGUCGUGAGACAGCUCGGUCUCUAUCCGCUGUGCGCGUAGGAUAUUUGAAGGAAUUUGCUCCUAGUACGAGAGGACCGGAGUGAGCAAACCAAUGGUGUAUCGGUUGUAACGCCAGUUGCAUCGCCGAGUAGCUAAGUUUGUUAGGGAUAAGCGCUGAAAGCAUCUAAGUACGAAGCCCCUCCUGAGAUAAGAUAUCCCAUCUCUUUAUGAGAGUAAGAUCCCCGGUAGACUACCGGGUUGAUAGGCUACGUGUGUAAGCAUAGUAAUAUGUUCAGCUAAGUAGUACUAAUAGAUCGAGGAUUUGAUGAU
rnacentral:rRNA from 1 species